rnacentral:ncRNA from 1 species
ACGUCCCGCCUCGUGAUCGUCUUCUCACCUUUCGCGGCGGCGGGCGGAAAGACGGAAGGGCCCCCACGAGGACAUGACUCGCGGGGGCCCUUC